UGAUUUUUAUUGCGAAGCAUUGGCAAAAAUAUUGUGAGUAAAAAUAUUGCUAAAAUUUUCCAAGAAAUGAGAAAUACAAGAAAUGUAAGAAAUAAAGAAAAGCAAUGCAAGUAAGAAAAAAUGGUGGCUCUGAUUGGAUUUGAACCAACGACCCCUACCA
rnacentral:antisense_RNA from 1 species